AGAGACUUAGGAUAGCCUUAAGACCAAGGGCCUUCAAAGCCCUCAGCGGGAGUUAGAAUCUCCCAGUCCCUG
rnacentral:tRNA from 1 species